rnacentral:rRNA from 1 species
UACGUAGGGUGCAAGCGUUGUCCGGAAUUAUUGGGCGUAAAGAGCUCGUAGGCGGUUUGUUGCGUCGGCUGUGAAAUCCCGAGGCUCAACCUCGGGUCUGCAGUCGAUACGAGCAAACUAGAGUGUUGCAGGGGAGACUGGAAUUCCUGGUGUAGCGGUGAAAUGCGCAGAUAUCAGGAGGAACACCGGUGGCGAAGGCGGGUCUCUGGGCAACAACUGACGCUGAGACGCGAAAGCGUGGUGAGCAAACAGG